UGGAACAAGCCAAAAAGAUAGAUGGUUUUGAGGGACCAGUAGUCCAUCUUCGAAACUAUUACUUUGGCUUUCUCCA
rnacentral:ncRNA from 1 species